GCUCUCUCGCCGUCACCUCCGCAUAACCGACACCUGAACCCUUUUUCCUCGCGAUCCUUCCAAGACUGAUUGUGAAAAGUCACGCACACAAGUACUUCGCACUACAUAGACGCAACCACCGAAACACCCGUAUAGCCGAGAUACAGCGGCAAAGAGGGCGUCAUCGUAGCUGCAUCGCAGUAUUGCAAAUCGCAUCUGGCACGCACCGGCUUGCAGCGUUCCUCCCCAACCUCCUUCUGCCAUCCACGCCCUUCUCACCUCCCUCCCCUUGAACCAACUAACGGGUGCGUGCCUGACGUCAACGAUGUCUACCAGCGCAGCCCAGGCUCUCGAAAAACUCGUGCCAGGCCGGUUGUUGCAGCUUGCAGACAGCGGCACGCCGACUAUCGUAACCCCGCUCGGCAACGAGGGCAGCCUCAACGCGUCGAUCCACGCAUACAAGGGUAAGGGCUACCUGCCCUACUUCACGCACGCGGUAAAGGCCGCGCAGCGGGCUCUCGUCAAUGAGCUCCGCGCCGCGGGCGUCGAAGUGCCGAAUGGCGCUGAGGCGUCUCACCUGGAGGGCGUACGCGGCGUGCACUGCCGUGAUGAGGCCAGCUGCAGCCAUAUAAUACAUGACGAGCACAUCACAGCGACCCUGGACGAUGAGGACACCGACGAUACACGCAUGAUUGUUGCCUGCGACCCUAUUCAGACACAGCUACGGGACGACUGCGUCGAGUGCUUCCCUCGCGUGAACAAGGUGAGUGGGUGGGAGGAACUGGUGGUGCGGGUGCACCUCUUUUACCCCAACACCGCCCCGUGCAUGAGCGUGCAGGACAGGCGCGCGCGCCUCGUCACACAGAAGCACUUCGUGCCAAAGAACGCGCGCACAUUGCAGGGCUACCACGUCUUCCACUACGCCAAGCGCGGCAGCUCCGUGCGGACGCCGCACUGCGAGUCCAUGUUUCCCUACACGCCCAAGGCCACGGAGAGCAAAGGCUUCACGCGGGAGAGCAAGUGCACCGCCAUUACAGUGGAGUCGGUGUUCGUGCGCGACCCGGUGCGCCAGCAGCGCCCUUUCUAUGCUGAAGACGCGGAGCAGGUGCGCGUGUACUUCUCCUACCUGCGUGUGGGUGCCUUCGUCACGGACGAUGAGCUGGUGGAGCACUUCCCGCUGGAGUCGAUGGACGCGGCCGCCAUGCCGGCGUUCACCGACGACCGCGACGUGGAGAAGUACCAUGUGCUGGUGCGUCUGUACCUGCUGGCGCACGACCAGGGCUGGACGGCGACGCAGCCGCACGGCUGCCCGCACCCGCUCGGCGGUCGCGUGGGCCUGCCGGUGCUGUUCCGAACCUGCGCAACGGAGGUGAUCGUGCCGGACGCGUGCUGCCGCGACUCGCAGCUGCUGCUGCGGCAGAGCCUGCUUCCGGACGUAGAGAUGCAGGUCACGCGCUUCUGCUUCCGCCGCAUCGUGAGCGAGGUGCUGCGGCAGCGCGUCGUGGCAGCGGCUGCGGACACCCCCGAGCGCUACGUUCCCGUCGUCUGCUACAUGCCGCACGGUGACCGCGUGCCUGUCUUCACGGACAAGCAGGUCGGCGUGCUGGCGCGCCUGUACCCGCACCUCGGCAUCCGCAGGCCCACCAGCCGCUGCGAGUGGGCGCACCUCAGCCGCACGCUCUACCAGCACGGCAUUUCGUUGUUUGACAUUCUCGCCGCCGUCGGUGUCCCGCUUCGCGACGCCCAUGGCGCCGUCAUCGACACCGACGCCUACGUGCCCUACACCGCGGACAUGGCCGACGACUACUUCCUCGUCAUUGCCAACCGCCCGCUGCGCGACUACACUUGCGUCACGAACCAGCGCUGGCUGUGCGAGCAGUUGCUGCUGCCCGGCCACCGCCCGCACAUCAACGCGCGCGCCUUUGCGGCGUGGGUGCGCUACUGGAACGCGAUGGUGCAGCUGAAGCACGAACUGGAGAAGCAGGCGAACUUGGACACAGUCAGCGCGCACCUGGGGCUUCGGCUGCCGGCCGGAAAGACGGGGCAGCGUGCGGCGUGUCUAGUGAACGGCUUCGUGACGGAUGCCAAAGGCGGCUUGAUCUUCCCAGAGCUGGGCGGCCGGCGCUUCCGCGACAGGGAACACGUCGGUGCGCUGCUGCCCGGGGCGCCGGUGCUGUACAGUUUUUGGGUGGAUGGAAAGCUGCAAUUUACGUAUGUGCGGACGCCAAUGCACUUUGUUCGAGGGCUGCCGCCGAAGCAGGCGAAUGGGCAGCGGCCAGCGCAGAGCGUGAUAGCGGCCGGCGGCGCCCCUGCUAAUCGCGGUGAUGCCACACAGAGAGGAGAAAAAGUUGGAGAUGAACGAAGAGCUAACGUGGCGAUUCAUGCUUGAGCCUAUAGUACACCCAACAGCAGGAGACGUAAGAUCGCUGCGUUCGCCACCACCACCAUCCCCACCACCCCUACACGAGGAGGUCCGCGUGCACGGCGACGCGAUGAGUCCAGUGCAUGACCUCGGCCGCCGCGGCGGGCCCACCGGAGUGUGUGGCAACAGUCGUUGUGGCACCAUCAGGUGCAGCAGGGUCCUGCGCACGGGUGAAAUGGAUGUGGCACGACAGCGAACCCCCACGAGAGUCGACAGCAGCAGCGUGAAAGAGGACAAGAAAGCUCGAUACGCAGCCGUUUUAGCCAGCUUCCUGGAUCACCGCCUCACCAGGUGCGCACGAGGCAACCUUGGAAAGGAGGUGAAGGUACUUUUAAAGUCGUUCUCCGCAAAUCCUCCCCGCCAUCCAGCAGCCUGCUUUACUGUUUUUUUUUUUUUGUUAUUCUACGAAUCGUUCCUCCCCGCCCUCUCUGACUGUUGCGGCUCCACGGGAUACCGGCGGUGGCAAACACACGUGCUCGUCCACACCUCUUCCGCGCCUCUUCCACGGCCAUCGUCGGAG
rnacentral:misc_RNA from 1 species